UACGUAGGGGGCAAGCGUUGUCCGGAUUCAUUGGGCGUAAAGAGCGUGUAGGCGGCCAGGUAGGUCGGUUGUGAAAACUGGAGGCUCAACCUUCAGAGGUCGACCGAAACCAUCUGGCUAGAGUCCGGGAGAGGAGAGUGGAAUUCCUGGUGUAGCGGUGAAAUGCGCAGAUAUCAGGAAGAACACCCGUGGCGAAAGCGCUCUGCUAGGCCGCAACUGACACUGAGGGACGAAAGCUAGGGGAGCGAAUGGG
rnacentral:rRNA from 1 species